rnacentral:lncRNA from 1 species
UUGACGCCUACACAGAGGCGUAGGAAAAAAAAAUUUCACAGCACAAGCAGGCGAAUUUAAGAUUACAGGGGUAUAAUCUGCUGCUUCAAAUUAAAACCACACCUAGAAACACCACUCAGACUUGGUAUGUUUUACAGGAAGCUUAUUAGCUAUGGUAGCUUCCAGCAGCCGACACCCAAACAGAUCGACGCGACGAGCAGCCUGAGCAAACAGCAAGAGGUGGUGCAAGACAUCAAGCAGCAAUUACGUACAAGUAGUACUAGUUCUUUGGUACAGAACACUCCGGCCGCCGGCGGCCGGCCGGAGCCGACCCGCCGGAAACACUCGCCGGAGCGCCACGAGAGGUUGCCGGAUAAGUGGAUACUGGAUACAUCGAUCACUUGGGUCCCCAGAGCAGGAGGUGCAUCACCUUGGCCCUCUUGCCGUUGCCGCCCGCCGCGGCGGCGUGGUCGCCGCGGCACCCCGGCUGCUGCUGCUGCUGCUGCCGCAGCUCCCGCCCCGGCACGGAGGCGUCGCGCGCCAUCAGCGCGCGGCCGAGGGCGGCGAACUCCGGCCACCUGCUCUCGCGGGCGCCGCUGCUCAUGGCUGCUGGCUGCUAGCUGCUAGCUGCCGCUGCUGCUACUGCACCACCGCAGCACUAGCAGUCUAGCACGCCACGCGCCUCUCUCGAUCGGGUUCUUGCUUCUGUCACCAGCUACUCCAGACACCAAGCUGGUCAGUUAUAUAAAGCGGCGAAGCUCGAGUAGGUCUAAUAGCGAGACGUGACGGAUCUCCGGUGCCGCAGCUGUGGAUAAGAGAC